GUCGAGCGGUAGAGAGAAGCUUGCUUCUCUUGAGAGCGGCGGACGGGUGAGUAAUGCCUAGGAAUCUGCCUGGUAGUGGGGGAUAACGUCCGGAAACGGACGCUAAUACCGCAUACGUCCUACGGGAGAAAGCAGGGGACCUUCGGGCCUUGCGCUAUCAGAUGAGCCUAGGUCGGAUUAGCUAGUUGGUGGGGUAAUGGCUCACCAAGGCGACGAUCCGUAACUGGUCUGAGAGGAUGAUCAGUCACACUGGAACUGAGACACGGUCCAGACUCCUACGGGAGGCAGCAGUGGGGAAUAUUGGACAAUGGGCGAAAGCCUGAUCCAGCCAUGCCGCGUGUGUGAAGAAGGUCUUCGGAUUGUAAAGCACUUUAAGUUGGGAGGAAGGGCAGUAAAUUAAUACUUUGCUGUUUUGACGUUACCGACAGAAUAAGCACCGGCUAACUCUGUGCCAGCAGCCGCGGUAAUACAGAGGGUGCAAGCGUUAAUCGGAAUUACUGGGCGUAAAGCGCGCGUAGGUGGUUCGUUAAGUUGGAUGUGAAAUCCCCGGGCUCAACCUGGGAACUGCAUUCAAAACUGACGAGCUAGAGUAUGGUAGAGGGUGGUGGAAUUUCCUGUGUAGCGGUGA
rnacentral:rRNA from 1 species